rnacentral:tRNA from 1 species
GCCUGGGUGGCUCAGGGGUUGAGCACCUGCCUUUGGCUCAGGGCGUGAUCCCAGGGUCCUGGGAUCGAGUCCCACAUCAGGCU